rnacentral:lncRNA from 1 species
CUCCUAUUGUGCUUACUGCUGGAAAUUCGAAGGAGGUGAAAGAUAAUUGUUAGAAACCGAAUCCGGAAAUACCAAAUUAUAUUACCAAGAACAAAAUAUAAAACAUUGUUUGAUACAAUAGUGUGUUGUGAGAUAAUUAACAAUAAAACACAGUUAUGCAGAGAUAAUUAUUUGAAUACUGAAGCAUUUCUUCGCGUAAAAUUUCAAUGAUAUUUAUGUUGAAUCCUUAGUAAAAUUCAUAGAAUUCGCGUAAAAGAGGAAUGAAUGUCUUGGUGUCCUAUUGUUGUGCAAUGACAGCCAGAACAAAGUUUUCGACCAUCACUAAGAUUAAAAUAUCUCAUAUUCCUAUCUGCACAGAUCAAGUGAAGUUUAAUUUCAAGAAAUGGAUGAUUUUUAGCAUUAAACACGGAGAAACUAAUAUAUCUAAGAAGAGGGAUUAAUUCCUCAGCUACAACUUUACCAAUAAUAAUCCCAAGCCCUCCAGAGCGUGUAAAUAUACUUGUGCUUCUCCCUGUAGAUAGAGAAAAUUUUAAGAACCCAACCCUCAAUUAAACCACUUCUUAAUACUCUCAACCCCAUCCCCAUUUAGCAAGAUAAAAGUAUAUAAAAUCACAUGCAUAAAUAAGAAUUAUCUGGACAGAUUAUUACAAUUACAAAACAGCCACACACAAAAAAAAUAAUUCAAUAAUCACCUAUAGGAUCAAACAUCUUUAAAAUUGUUCGAAAUCCACUGCCAUUAAAGUUCAUCACAGCGUACCGCACAAUUCUACAAAAUCCAAUAGUGUGUUAGCCAGGAACCGAGAAACACAAUAAUGAAUAAAUUUACAAAGCAAUCCGUAAACUUUAAAAAGACACUAAUAUGCAAAUUUGAUCAUAUAUCUUUAUGACAAUCACUUGAUCCUGUCAGAAUUGCCAGGCGAAGAAGAUGAUCACUUCUUAAUAUAAUCCGGAUUCAGUAAU